rnacentral:rRNA from 1 species
AAACGACGCUCGGACAGGCAUGCCUCCCAGGAUACUGGAAGGCGCCAUGUGCGUUCAAAGAUUCGAUGAUUCACUGAAUUCUGCAAUUCACAUUACAUAUCGCGUUUCGCUGCGUUCUUCAUCGAUGCUGGAGCCAAGAGAUCCGUUGUUAAAAGUU